rnacentral:lncRNA from 1 species
ACCAAGCAAUUCUCUGCAACACCACUGGGUGUCCUGCAGUUUAACUUAAUUCCAGCACUGCCUGGAGGCAGUGUCAGAUCCCACAGGUAGGGCUCACCCCCACAGACCGUUCCUACCCCUCUUCAGAUGCCAGUCACAGCCCAGGUAGCCCCUGAGCUUCAGCCUAAAGCACAGUACAGGGGAGUUCUCACCAACUCCUCCUUGGGUUUGAUGAAUUUGCUAGGGCAGCUCAUAGAACUUGGGGCAAGGCCUACAUGCACCUGCUGGUUUAUUCAAGGCUAUGAUAAAGGACACAAGUGAACAGUCAGCUGGUGCGAUGCCCAGGCGACAUCUGGGAGGGUCCCGAGUGGAGGAGCUUCUGCCCCUGUGGAGUUGCGGGGGGAGGUCAGCUCCUGCUGAGGGUGUGUUUGCCUGAGUGGAAGCUCUCUGAACCCCAUACUGUUGGGGUUCUAUGGAGGCUUCCUCACAUAGGCACGGCUGGUUAUUAACUCCAUUUCUAGCCCCUCUUUCCUUUCUGGAGAAAUGAAGGGUGGUCCUUUGGUAACUAGCUCCACCCAGAAGCCCCCCAGCAUGGACCCAUUAGAACAAAAGCUGUUCCUAGUGCCUUAUCACUUAGAAAAUCACGAGGGUUUUAGGAGCUCUGUGCCAGAGCUGGGGUCAGAGACCAAUUUAUAUUUUCUAUAAUCUCACUCUGUGCCAGGCACUCCAUGUACCUCUUCCGCUAGAGCCUCAGAAAGCCCUGUGGUUUGGGGCCCAUCAUUUCUGACUGACAAUAAGAACCCAAGUUCAGGAAGGAGAAGUGACCUGUUCAUGGCCACCUGCCUGAUGGGUGACUGAGCACAGGUUUAAGCCUAGCAUGUUAGAGCGGGAAGAACUGCCAUGUGAACGGGUGACACCCAGAGCCAUCUUUCUUCUGGAGCUUUGGAGUGGGGGGAUUGGGGGGGGGAAUGGGAGGGGAGAACAGAGUCCCCACAAAGGGAGGAGAAGAGGAAGGGACAGAAUCAGGACUCUGGCUAAUUUAAAGUCAGCUAUGGUUUGCACAGUCGGAUCGGCCUAGCCCUAUCCAGCCAUCUGUCUGAGGGCAAAUGGAACAGCUGGCCAGAGGCAGAACCCUGCAGUGACUCUUACAGGGGGAGAAUAAACGUAUUUGCCCACCUGUGGGCAGGAACCCCAACUAUUCUGGAUGGUAGGUCCAGAGCCAAGGAGGCUUCUGCUGCCCGGGGUCUUCAGUUUCUGAAUCAGCGAGGAGGGUGGUCCUCUGGGCCCCGAGAAGGGGUAGGGCAUGGGGAUGAGGGGACCUGGGCGUGAGGAAGGGGCAAGGGGCAGUUUCUGUUUACCAAACGGUACAACUGUAUUUCAUCAUUGUCACUACUGUACCCACACCCACCUGUUGAAUCACAGCACUGGCUAUCUGGCUAUUACCAUUUGUUUUUUAUUAUUAUCACUAUUUUAAUUAUAGCUUAACCAAGGGUAAAGAAUAUAAAAAGGAAAAUCAGGAGUUCCUGCUGUGGCUCAGUGGGUUAAGAACCCACCAUGGUAUCUCUUGGAUAGAAUCUGGCCAGAAGUCUUACCUUGUUUAACCCAUAGGGUAAUAAAAAGAAAUAUGGGAGUUCCUGUUGUGGCUCAGUGGCAGUGAGCCUGACUAGCAUCCAUGAGGAUGUGGGUUCGAUGCCUAGGCUCACUCAGUGGCUCAAGGAUCUGGCAUUGCACUGAGCUGUGGUGUAGGCUGGCAGCUGCAGCUCCAAUUUGACUCCUAGCCUGGGAACUUACGUAUGCUGUGGGUGUGGCUCUAAAAAGACAAAAGAAGGAAAAGAAUUAUGAAUCAACCUUCAAAAGGGGGAGAUUCAAAAGUUUGUCUUCUUUUAAAAAACAAAUUACAAGGCCUGGCAUCCAGGUCCACCGGGGCCCACAGUUUCCCCCUGGUGAUAGUUGCCCAGAGCUGAGUAGAGGCUGUCCCCUGCAUGCGGGGCAGACGCCCCUUGCUGAGCCACGCAUGUAUCAGACAGCUCCCAUCGCCCACUGGCCAAGGUUUGUCCUAAGUUCUCGACUCUCCUGCACUUCUGGGUGCUGCAGACUUGCUGGAGUCAGGGGUGUCCAGGGAUCGGGGUCGAACAGGAGGCACAUGGCUAAGGUGAGGCAUGAUGAGGCGGUCCCAGUGGGAGAACACCCACAGCCGGGUCAUUGAGGAAGUGACUGGGAUUAUGAGGGGGAGAAGCCAGAGAAUUUGAAGUCGUGGGCACGCAAGGUAGGACUCCGUGACCAUUCACUUAUCCCGAGGCCAGUCGGUAUUUUAGUCCAUCAUUCUCAGAGGUAACAGAGGUUAGCAAGGGUUUCCAGGCUUGUCAUGCCAGAAAUGGUGCCAGGCUGCCAGGCCUCAUGGAAAUUUCCACUGUAGAUUCGUCUGCUUUUAAGGGUUGCAAAGCACUAGUGGAUGAAAAUACGUAGACAUUUCUUGUUUCUUUUUCAAUUCUAUUCCAUCAUUCAUUUGCAUGAAUAUUUAUUAAGUGUCGAUUGGUGCAACAGUCUUGGAGAGACAGUUAUUGUCUUUCCAUUUAGCAGGUAAGACUUGAAGGCAGAACAGUGAAAUCGCUGGCACCACUGAAUAAAUGCUUCUGGACCCUUUUCAUGCCAGGUAACUAACAGGCAGAAGGGAGAUUUAAAUCCAGUCCUUCUGCUGGUUCUGCAUUCUUGUUCUCCAUAGAUUUGGAAGGGAAUGAAUCAAGCCUUCACCCAAUAAAAUUAUUCCUCUUGUGCAGCCCUGGAUAACAUACCUGCCAGCUUACUUUUCUUUUAAAAUGUGUUUUGUGUCCAUUUACAUUUUUCACCCACCACUGAUUAGGACCAGUCUGGACAUGGGAGAGGAUGCUGCGGUAGCUGUCCCAUGGUCCAGAGGGGAGGCCUCCCCCAGCCAUUGACAGGGUGUGCAUGGGGUCCUGAGAGGGCGACCUCAGUGGGAAGGCACCGGGGAGCUGAAGGAGGGCGUCGGUGGGGAGCAGAGCCCCGCAGCGGCCCCAGAAGGUCAGAGGUCUUGGGAUGAAGGCUGUCCCUCCGCAGGGCGUGCGACUCCUUUGAGAGUCACCGCUGUGGGGCUUGAGAAGACAGUUCCCGGGGAGUCACCCCUCCGAGCCCUCUGAGCCCCUCUUCAGGUCAGACGGGGCCGCACGGGGAGGGCGCUCCAUGCGUAGACGAACACCGACCGUGCUGGAAUAACGCGUGCUCUCCGGCGUUCGCAGCUGUGGAGCCCCGGGGAGUUGUCUGGCUACAUGUGAUUUUACAUAUCUGACAGCUAAAUCAGAGACCCAAAUGCCAGAGCAGCACUCAGGAACAUUACGUGGAUUUGUGACACUCCCAAGGGGACUCGGGAUCCAUAAAGCAAUGAAGGGAUUACAAUGAGGCAUAAAUAUAGCAUUUUCAUCUGUGACAUACAAUCCCGCUCUAUUAUUUCUCACAUUGUUAUGUGAAAGAAAUCUAUACCCCCUCUUUCAGGUCUGUUGCCAGGAAUUAAAAACAAAGAGAGCUUUAAGAUAGGCAGCAAAAAGAAGCUCUGGAAGCCCCAGGAAGGAACCAAGCACCAAGUGUGAUAAGGGUGACAGUUCCAUCGAGGCGACUGGCAACAGAGGGUCGACCCCAGGAUCCCGCACGUUGUCAGCCAGCAGCACCCUCACCCAGGCCAGCACGUCAGCUGUGCCAGCGACUAGCUGCGUGGCUUUGAGCAAAUCACUCCCUCUCUCUCUGGGCCUCCACUUCCUCUUUUGUCCAGGGGACUCCACAGUUAGAGGCGUGCACCCUCACAGGGCGGGCGAAGUGGAAGAACAUAUUACAACUUUCUCUGAACUUUUAAAAUUUCUAGUUGUUUAUAUGUAGGUGCAAUGCACCUUAUGUAUUAGCAUUAGUAGACCUCUCUCGUUUAUAAAGGAAUAAAUACACGUGUACCAAAAGGGGGGGCCGAAAAAUGCUUUACUGAUGGAAGCAUAUGAAUAAAAACUUUGGUGGCCCCAGAUUUCACCCAAGCUGGUCGUUCCACUGAUGCUGGGGAGGCCCGUUUGGAUGUGACGGUUCAUGAGUCUACGCAUUUGAGGACCCUUCUCGGUGGUCUCCCCCAGAUUCCCCCACUGGGGUUAGUGCAUCUUCUAAGGAAGAAGCUCUGUGCCCGUGUUUUGGGCUCAGAAACCAUGAGAUGCAAGUACUGGCCCCCUUAGAACUGUGCUUCCCACAGUCAAGUGCAGGGAAGCUCUGUCCUUGCAAAUAAUUUUAAAUCCCUCAUAUUUGCUUCAUACUCUAAAGUGCACAAAGCAACGAAAAAGUAGUUUUAUGUGUACAGACCGAGAGACAGGGCAGGUACUAUGAUCCUGUUUUAUAUAUGAGGAAAGAGAUUCAGAAAGGCCAAAUGAUUUCCCCAUGGCCACCCAGCUAUGGGACAAGGCCAUCACCCAAACCCCCAUUCUCCCAAUAAGGACUCCAGGGCUCUUUUCACUUAUAACCCAGUGCAAACGUGCUCCCUGCAUCCCAGGGAGAAAGAGGUGACGGUGUACAAGUCCGCCAGUGUAAAUGUGACCCCCAGCUAUUU